GAUGAACGCUGGCGGUAUGCCUAACACAUGCAAGUCGAACGGUCUCUUCGGAGAUAGUGGCGGACGGGUGAGGAACGCGUGAGAACCUGCCUCUAAGUCGGGGACUACAGUUGGAAACGACUGCUAAUACCGGAUGAGCCGAAAGGUAAAAGAUUUAUCGCUUAGAGAGGGGCUCGCGUCUGAUUAGCUAGAUGGUGGUGUAAAGGACUACCAUGGCGACGAUCAGUAGCUGGUCUGAGAGGAUGAGCAGCCACACUGGGACUGAGACACGGCCCAGACUCCUACGGGAGGCAGCAGUGGGGAAUUUUCCGCAAUGGGCGAAAGCCUGACGGAGCAAUACCGCGUGAGGGAGGAAGGCUCUUGGGUUGUAAACCUCAAAACUUAGGGAAGAAGAAAGUGACGGUACCUAAUAUAAGCAUCGGCUAACUCCGUGCCAGCAGCCGCGGUAACAC
rnacentral:rRNA from 1 species